GUGACCUCAAAUCAGGUAGGACUACCCGCUGAACUUAAGCAUAUCAAUAAGCGGAGGAAAAGAAACUAACAAGGAUUCCCCUAGUAACUGCGAGUGAAGCGGGAAAAGCUCAAAUUUAAAAUCUGGCAGUUUCUUUUAGCUGUCCGAGUUGUAAUCUAGAGAAGUGUUAUCCGCGCUGGACCGUGUACAAGUCUCCUGGAAUGGAGCAUCAUAGAGGGUGAGAAUCCC
rnacentral:rRNA from 1 species